rnacentral:rRNA from 1 species
UAGUCAUAUGCUUGUCUCAAAGAUUAAGCCAUGCAUGUCUAAGUAUAUACUUUUGUACAGUUGAACUGCGGAUGGCUCAUUAAAUCAGUUAUAGUUUAUCGAUGGUCACUUGCUACAUGGAUAACCGUGGUAAUUCUAGAGCUAAUACAUGCGAUCCCUCCAACUUUGUGGAAGGAGUGUGCUUGUCUGAAUAGAAUCAAUGCGGCUCUGUCGCUUAUUGGUGAAUCAGGACAAAAGUACGAAUCGAUCUCAGAUCGAUGCAUCAUUCGAGUUUCUG